rnacentral:rRNA from 1 species
GAUGAACGCUGGCGGCGUGCCUAAUACAUGCAAGUCGAGCGAACAGAUGAGGAGCUUGCUCCUCUGACGUUAGCGGCGGACGGGUGAGUAACACGUGGAUAACCUACCUAUAAGACUGGGAUAACUUCGGGAAGCCGGAGCUAAUACCGGAUAAUAUAUUGAACCGCAUGGUUCAAUAGUGAAAGACGGUUUUGCUGUCACUUAUAGAUGGAUCCGCGCCGCAUUAGCUAGUUGGUAAGGUAACGGCUUACCAAGGCAACGAUGCGUAGCCGACCUGAGAGGGUGAUCGGCCACACUGGAACUGAGACACGGUCCAGACUCCUACGGGAGGCAGCAGUAGGGAAUCUUCCGCAAUGGGCGAAAGCCUGACAGAGCAACGCCGCGUGAGUGAUGAAGGUCUUCGGAUCGUAAAACUCUGUUAUUAGGGAAGAACAAAUGUGUAAGUAACUAUGCACGUCUUGACGGUACCUAAUCAGAAAGCCACGGCUAACUACGUG